GAUGAAGAACGUAGCGAAAUGCGAUAAGUAAUGUGAAUUGCAGAAUUCAGUGAAUCAUCGAAUCUUUGAACGCACAUUGCGCCCGCCAGCAUUCUGGCGGGCAUGCCUGUUCGAGCGUCAUUUCAACCCUCGAGCCCCCCCGGGGGCCUCGGUGUUGGGGGACGGCACACCAGCCGCCCCCGAAAUGCAGUGGCGACCUCGCCGCAGCCUCCCCUGCGUAGUAGCACACACCUCGCACCGGAGCGCGGAGACGGUCACGCCGUAAAACGCCCAACUUCUUAGAGUUGACCUCGGAUCAGGCAGGAAUACCCGCUGAACUUAAGCAUAUCAAUAAGCGGAGGA
rnacentral:misc_RNA from 1 species